rnacentral:rRNA from 1 species
GACGAACGCUGGCGGCGUGCUUAACACAUGCAAGUCGAACGGUGAAGCGCCUUCCUUUUUGGUGGGUGUGGAUGAGUGGCGAACGGGUGAGUAACACGUGAGUAACCUGCCCCCUUCUUCUGGAUAACCGCAUGAAAGUGUGGCUAAUACGGGAUAUUCUGGGUCUGUCGCAUGAUGGGUCUGUGAAAGAUAUUGUUUCGGUGGGGGAUGGGCUCGCGGCCUAUCAGCUUGUUGGUGGGGUGAUGGCCUACCAAGGCGGUGACGGGUAGCCGGCCUGAGAGGGUGGACGGUCACACUGGGACUGAGACACGGCCCAGACUCCUACGGGAGGCAGCAGUGGGGAAUAUUGCACAAUGGGCGCAAGCCUGAUGCAGCGACGCCGCGUGAGGGAUGGAGGCCUUCGGGUUGUGAACCUCUUUCGCCAGUGAAGCAGGCCUGCCUCGUUUGUGGGUGGGUUGACGGUAGCUGGAGAAGAAGCGCCGGCUAACUACGUG